CCUACGGGCGGCAGCAGUGGGGAAUCUUGCGCAAUGGGCGAAAGUCUGACGCAGCGACGCCGCGUGAGGGAUGAAGGUCUUCGGAUCGUAAACCUCUGUCAGCAGGGAAGAAUGGUCACUGUGCUAAUCAGCAGUGAAUUGACGGUACCUGCAAAGGAAGCACCGGCUAACUACGUGCCAGCAGCCGCGGUAAUACGGAGGGUGCGAGCGUUAAUCGGAAUUACUGGGCGUAAAGCGAGCGUAGGCGGUAUGUUAAGUCAAGGGUGAAAUCCCCGCGCUCAACGUGGGAACUGCCUUUGAAACUGGCAAACUUGAGUGUGUGAGAGGAGAGUGGAAUUCCAGGUGUAGGAGUGAAAUCCGUAGAUAUCUGGAGGAACAUCAGUGGCGAAGGCGACUAUCUGGCACAUAACUGACGCUGAGGAGCGAAAGCGUGGGGAGCAAACAGGAUUAGAUACCCGAGUAGUC
rnacentral:rRNA from 1 species